UACGUAGGGUCCAAGCGUUAUCCGGAAUCACUGGGCGUAAAGCGUGCGUAGGUGGAUGUUUAAGUGUAUUGCGAAAUCUUGUGGCUCAACCAUAUAGACUGUAAUGCAUACUGGAUAUCUAGAGGACGGCAGAGGCAAGUGGAAUUUGUAGUGUAGCAGUGAAAUGCGUAGAUAUUACAAGGAACACCAAUGGCGAAGGCAGCUUGCUGGGCCGACCCUGACACUGAGGUACGAAAGCGUGGGGAGCAAACAGG
rnacentral:rRNA from 1 species